ensembl:lncRNA
GGGAAGAUGGCACUGAAAGACAGGGGUGUGGGUUUAUGGUUGAGGCCUUGCUGUUGGGGUGGGGAGAUUAGAAAAAAGUUUUCUGAGUAUUUUCCUCAAUCAAAUCUUAUGUCUUAGUAUUUUAAGAAGCACAAAACGGUGGACUAAUGGUAAGAACCCUGAGAAACCAUAGAAGAAAGACUAAUGAAAGAAAGCAACAUAGAGAGCAGAUUCUAUGGUAACAAAGAUGACAGAUUAAGACCGACAAAAGAAGGGGAUGACUAGAAACAAGGCAGCUGCUUUCAAGAAGUCCUGACGUGAGGAAGUCAGAAGCCAUACUUCACCUGCCCUGGGACUGGGAUGCAGGCCUGUGACCCAGCUCCACCAAUCAGAUGCGUCCACGCGGACCUUGCUCCAGAUGGGAGCCACAGGAAGAAGCAGGCUUGGGUGAGGCCACCAUGUUUGCUGGUGUGGAUGGCAGCAGAGGUGCCCAGCUUUUGGUGGUGGCAGCUGCCAUGACGGUGCUUCCCAGAGGUAGCAAAGUCAAGUUCCUGAAGCAGAAGUGAAAACGAUGCUUGCUGUGGUAGUGACUGCAGCUGGGCUGGUUCUUAAAGCUUAUCGAGCUUGACAUGGCUGGCAGUUUCCUUUUGGGCCAUGGUUUUACUUCUGGAUGUUUCGUCUCAAAUCUCCUCCUGAAUACAUUUCCUUUUUUUGUUUAAUCAUCUGGGUAGUAGAACCAUACCAGUCCCCAGAGACCUCAGUCUUGAAUGGCAUCAUGAGGUGGACGUUAACAGUCUGGCCCAGGUUCAUUUUACAGUCUCUCCUCCAACUCUCAGUGAAGACCAGGCCUCAGUUUCUCAUCUUCUGCGAGUAUUGCCUGAAUAAGACCACAGAGCUUCCUAAGGAUAAAUUUUUUUUUUCUUUGUACAGGAUAGUCACAUCCUUGACUAGUGCAAGAAGCUUUUCUCUCCCAGUCUACAGGGUACCACUUACACAGAUAACCUUUCCCUGCGUCUCAUGGAUUCAUCUGGUUCCUCGGAGCCACAGCUGUCUCUACCAUCUCCAUAGUUACGGGAAUGUUUGCUUUAUGUCUUCACAACUGUGAGACAUACAGAGUGGAUUUGUCCUCAAAUAAAAGGCUGUCUUCUCUAGAGGCGAAUUCAACUCUGGUAACAUGGAGACCUGCUUGAAGCUUUGAAAAUAUAGGCUCCCUCCUACUCUUAGCUUCUGCCUUUCCUAUUGAAAUUUCAAGGAUCUUGGGACUUCUAGCUAACAUUUAAUCUCAGAGUAUCCCUGUGUUUUCAUCUGUUAUAGGUUGAAUUGUCUUCCCCAAGAUUCAGAUGUUGAAGUCCCAACUCAGAAUGGAUAUUUGAAGACAGGGUCUUCAAAGAGGUGAUUAAGUUAAUAUGAGGUCACGCAGGUGAGCCCUACGCCCUGUAAUUGUUCUGAUGAGAAGAAGUGAUCAGGACACAGACACAUACAGAGGGAAGAGCUUGUGAAGACACAGGGAGAAGGUUCCCAUCUAUAAGCCAAACAGAGCAGCUUCAGAAGGAAGUAACCCUACCAACAGCUUGAUCUUGGACUUCCAGCCUCUGCAAUUUUUUCCGAGGAACCAUCAUACUGUUUUCCACAGUGGGUGCACCGACUUAAAUUCCCACCAACAACAUAGGAGGCAAGAACAGACUUCUCAUGCCCUCUCCCCAGGCUCUGCUGAGUGUCUGCUGACACUCAUGGCCCUCCCUGAACGCCUCCACUAGACUUCACCCAGAACUGAUCGUGGGAGUCUGGCCACGGGUCGCCUGGUCUUCACUGAACUCUUGUUCAGAGCACUUGACAUUGGCCUCAGCCCUUGGGAUCAGGAGAGAAGGCCAGGAAAAAGGAAAUCCCCUUCCUCGAAGGAACCACACUUCAUUUUGAAUUCAUCUCUUGGACAAACCAAUGCAGAGUCCAGCCUUCCCAACUAGACCCGGUUUGACCAACUUCUGACCUUGCCUGUGAAGUUCUUCCAAACUGUUGUUCAACACAGAUAACUCAGCUUUCAUGUGAUGCAUUUUCCAGGCCCAGGGGAAAUGUUGCAAAUACUGGGAAUGUGUGAACUGAGGAAAUCGAAUUAAUUAAGAAAUAUAAAUCUAGAAAAUGUGGAAAUAGCAGACAAAGGGAGGCCAGACUCUUCUGGUGGCCCCUCUGGAGAGCCUGACGAUACAGAAGGACUUGUGUCCCUUCAGACUCCUGUCUGUGACUUUC